CCUACGGGAGGCAGCAGUGGGGAAUAUUGGACAAUGGGCGAAAGCCUGAUCCAGCCAUGCCGCGUGUGUGAAGAAGGCCUUCGGGUUGUAAAGCACUUUCAGUGGGGAAGAAAGCCUUGGGGCUAAUACCCUCGAGGAAGGACAUCACCCACAGAAGAAGCACCGGCUAACUCCGUGCCAGCAGCCGCGGUAAUACGGAGGGUGCGAGCGUUAAUCGGAAUUACUGGGCGUAAAGCGCGCGUAGGCGGUCUGAUAAGCCGGUUGUGAAAGCCCCGGGCUCAACCUGGGAACGGCAUCCGGAACUGUCAGGCUAGAGUGCAGGAGAGGAAAGUAGAAUUCCCGGUGUAGCGGUGAAAUGCGUAGAGAUCGGGAGGAAUACCAGUGGCGAAGGCGGUCUUCUGGACUGACACUGACGCUGAGGUGCGAAAGCGUGGGUAGCAAACAGGAUUAGAUACCCCAGUAGUC
rnacentral:rRNA from 1 species